rnacentral:tRNA from 1 species
GGGGUUGUGGCUCAGCGGUAGAGCUCUUGCCUAGCAUGUAUGAGGCACUGACUUCGAUUCUCAGCAGCACAU